UUGCUGUGGACAUCACGAAGAAUCUCACGAGGAAUUAAACGUUGAAUAAUUUGUUUAAUUCUUUAUAAGACAGCUAUAUAUUCAGCAAGGAACGAGAGAAAAAAAGGAACAAUUGAAAUGAUUCAUUCAGAAGUAUAUCUGAUGUAGAUAGUUAGGACAGUAGUAGCGUUACAGACUGUCCUCAGCGCACAAUAUAUUCAUGUGGUGCACCACAGACGCAAAUUCACCCCAUUAUUGAAAACAAGUUGCUAAAAGUAAACACGUCCGGUUUUGCACUCUGAGCCCAAAGGGCAUUGCAUUGAAUUGAGACUAAAGAAGGCUAAAAAACAUGACACCAGUUUUGUUGUAUGCUCCAGUACACCCUUCGACUCUCAGCCCGAAGUUAAUCAGAACUCAAACUCGGCCCUUAACAAUAUCCGCGAGGCCAGCAUAUCAGCUCAGCUUCUGAGCUUCAGCAACUGCUAAGCACAGAAGACAAAGGAGUAGUGAAAGGCUCAGCCAAAUCAAAGUCCAGCAAUGUGAGGGUGACACAGCCUUUCCAUGUCCUGGUAUUGCAACAUGAAGGACAUUUUAGCUGAAACUAACAAGGGAGAGAACUGUAGAUCUGCACCAGCACAGAGCACCAGCAUUGAUAUCAAGUUGGCCCAGCAACCGCACGAGCCCUACCUGCAGGAGCCCCAGUCCAGAACGACCCUUCCCCUCCCCUGACUUCUAACUCAUCCCCCUUGACCUCCUGACUCAAAAAGUCAGCAUGAUUGAAUAACUCUGUUCUGCAGGAAAUUCUGAGCAUGAUUCUAUUCUGAACAAACGCAAUGCCCAUGUCACGUUUUCCAAACAUAAGCCUGGGUAGUUUUGUUAAGCUAGAGUUCCCUGUGGGCCUGAGAGGGACAAGUGUUACAGACACGAAAAGUAAUAGCAGUAGUUAUGGUAACGCCAACAGUCAGUUGUUGCUGUUUGACAUCACAACAAAUAUCAUGAAAAAUAAAACGUUCAAUAACUUGUUCCAAUCUUUAUGGGACAAACAGAAAUUGAACGGGAGAAAAUCAAGGAACAAUAAAAGCGUAAGCUUUCCUAGUGGGAUACUUCUGCUGUUAAUAGUUUGGACGACUGUAGGGUUACGGACUGCCCCAGAUUGUCCUCUCAGCGGCCAAAAUAUCAUAAUAGAACGGACUUUUGGCAAUGUUACUGACAAACAAAGGGAGUAAUGACUUGGUUGUGAAUACCCAGAGCACUAGACAUCCAUGCUGACAAAGAAAGGCAGUAAUGACUUGGUUGUGAACACCUCCAGCACGAUACAUCCAUGCUGACAAAGAAAGGCAGUAAUGACUUGGUUGUGAACACCCAGAGCACAAUACAUCCAUGCUGAUACAGAAAGGCAGUAAUGACUUGGUUGUGAACACCCAGAGCACAAUACAUCCGUGCUGAUACAGAAAGGCAGUAAUGACUAAGCUGUGAACAUCCAGAGCACGAUACAUCCAUGCUAACACAGAAAGGCAGUAAUGACUAUGCUGUGAACACCCAGAACAUAAUACAUCCAGGCUGACACAGAAAGGCAGUAAUGACUUGGUUGUGAACACCCAGAGCACAAUACAUCCAUGCUGAUACAGAAAGGCAGUAAUGACUAAGCUGUGAACACCUAGAGCAGGAUACAUCCAUGCUAACACAGAAAGGCAGUAAUGACUAUGCUGUGAACACCCAGAACAUAUUACAUCCAGACUGACACAGAAAGGCAGUAAUGACUUGGUUGUGAACACCCAGAGGAAGAUAUAUCCAUGCUGACACAGAAAGGAAGUAAAGACUAUGCUGUGAACAUCCAGAGCAAGAUAUAUCCAUGCUGAAACAGAAAGGCAGUAAUGACUAUGCUGUGAACACCCAGAGCAUAAUACAUACAUGCUGACACACAAAGGCAGUAAUGACUUGGUUGUGAAUACCCAGAGCACAAUACAUCCAUGCUGACACAGAAAGGCAGUAAUGACUUGGCUGUGAACACAGAACACGUUACACCCAUGCUGACACAGACAGGCGGUAAUGACUUGGCUGUGAACACAGAACACGAUACACCCAUGCUGACACAGAAAGGCAGUAAUGACUUUGCUGUGAACUCAGAGCACAAUACAUCCAUGCUUACACAUAGAGGCAGUAAUGACUUGGCUGUGAACACAGAGCUUAAUACAUCCAUGCUGACACAGAAAGGCAGUAAAGACUUGGUUGUAAACACCCAGAGCACAAUACAUCCAUGAUGACACAGAAAGGCAGUAAAGACUUGGUUGUUUAAACACCCACAGCACAUUACAUCCAUGAUGACACAGAAAGGCAGUAAAGACUUUGUUGUAUACACUGAGAGAUCCAUACAUCCAUGGGGUGUGCCACAGACUCAAAUUACGCCCACUAUUGUGAACAAGGUGCUUAAAGUGAACAUGUCUGGUUUCUGUUUUCUGUUUUGUUAUGAGCACUUAGCACUCCGAGCCAAAAAGGCCUCACAUUGAAUUGAGAAGGCUUUGAAAAUGACAGCAGUUUUCUUGUGUGGUCCAGUACGCCCUUCGACUCGCAACCUGAAGAAAGCAGAACUCAAACUCGCCUCUUAGCAAUAUCAACAAGGCCAGCAUGUCAUCUCAGCUCCUUGAGCUUCAGUGAACUUUACUAGCAAACAUGACAAACGUCAUUGAAGUGAAAGUCGAUAACAGCCCCCUUCUUGCACACAUACUACAACUCGCUUAAGAAAUUCAGCAUGAAGACGUCUUGCGUCAGAAUACCAAGCCUCCUAUCAAUAUCUCCUCUCAUGUUGGCUACAUCAACACUUCCAACAGCAGAGCCUUGGUGAAUUGACUUCCGUCUCAGCAUCGAUGUCGCUUAGCAACAAUUGGAUGAUGGGCGUCGACAAAUUAGGCCGGACAAGUCGCUCGAACUGAAACGAUCUGAUCCAACAGGUAGAGCAGGCAUUGCGUGACACGUCUGUUAAUGUGACUGACCUCGAUAUGUUGUUCUCAAAUAAUGUGAACCUUAGGCCUGGAGAGCAGUAUGCGAUUGACGCCAUUCAACAACAGUUGUUGUCGGCAAUUCUCGGGUUUGGGGUGGCGACUUCGGCGUCGGGACUCACUACAUCUCUGUCUAUGGCCCAGUCGCAGCAGCAGCAGCAGCAACAAGAACAAUAAAGGAGGUUCCUACAGGAUCCCAUGCUGUCAUAGAUCGGUACCCAGCUGAACAACAGGCUGUCUGGUAAGCUGGGUCCGGAUAGGUGCAGCCAGUCUAAAGCUGGGGCUCCAAACUGUCCUGCCAAGUGGGCUGAUAUUACCUCUUCUACAAGGGACAUAUGUCAGUGAUGCGCAAAGAGCUGGUUUCUAUUCACAGAGAAAAAUCCUAACAA